CGGCGGAAGUCAGCCCGAAGCUGCGCUGGGAGCGGGGGUUGGGACGGCGGGGCGGGGAGAAGCCACAGAAGCCCCCUCCCGCGGGCGAGGCAGCGAGGCAGGCCUGCCGGGGGCUCCGGACGCCGCCUGUGUGAGAAGGGCGUUUACAGACCGGGCACCGGCCAAAGCGCCGCACGGCACAGACACGCUGGAAAGCCCUGACAGGUUCCAUCCACGACUCCAGAAGCAAUGGCAAGUCAGGCAGCAUCUGCUGCGGAGAGGCUGGCUCCUCCUCCUACUCACCUCAGGUAGCUGGAGUGCACGUUGCGACAGCCGCCAGCCUAAGGAGGGCCCUCCAGAUGACACCACCCGGUAGCUGGCACUGCGUCCCAGACCUCUGCGCUUUUCGAGUAAAUUGCUUCCACUGGAAAGGACAACCACCACCUGACACCUCUGGCCCUUCCACAGGCCUCUAGGGAAGCACCUUCCACUGAGCCAUUCUGAACCUGCUAUACUGGUGUCCCUUGGUGUGGUGGCAAAUAAAACAGGAGAAAUCGCAGGAGAAACCUCCCUCCCAUCCAGACCUUAACUCUAGGGGAGGACAACGCCCUCUGGCAUACACAGCCUACGCAGGUGUGACAGGUGUGGCCGCUUACAAAAUACCUUCUGGAAGCCACUGCUGGCUCUUAGAAGGGCUUGGGGGCACAGCAGAGGGGGAAAAGCAUAAACCCAGGAGCCAAAAGGUGGAAAAAAAGAGACUGAGCUGGAAUGUCUGAAAUAAAAGGAGGAACAGGCAGGGACAUGACAGAAAAGGAAAUUGGGAAGGUCAUCAAGGCCAGACCAUGGAUGACUGACUACCUUUCCAACUGUGCUAAGAAGUUCGAUUAUCAUCCACUAGAUGAUGGGAAGCCAUGCAAGUUACCAGUGAGGCAGGCUCAGAUACACACCCCAGACAAGCAGGAUGAAGAGCAGCCUGGAGGUGGGGGGCACAGGCAGCACAUGGCUGCCCCAGGCAAGGCCUGCCAUGAGGAUGGCCUACUUGGAGAAGUGUGUGAGGCCUCAGAAGCUGGGGUGUCCAGGACAGAUGCUCAUGCAUGUGUUGAGGGAACUUGGUAUCAGAGUGAGUAUCAGGAAUAAGGCACAGGACUGGGAAUGCUUUUUCUGCUGCGCCUUUGGGACACUAGGUUGAUGAUAAUGUUAGCCAUGGGGCUACAGAGGCCAAAAACAGAUCACAUUGUCUCAGAACAUGUAGUCAUGAAGAAAGAGAAACUUGGCAACAGAAAAUAUUAUCUUACACAUUUUAUAGAACAGGAUGUAAAUAAUACAGAGAAGACGGGCAAGGUUCUGUGAGCUGAAAUUAAUGAAGAGGGGUGGGGGAUGCAAGCCUCAGAACAAAAGAGAUCCCAGCAAAUAAUAUCAAAUGAUCACCAUAAGGAGUGCAUGGGGACAGACCUACACAGGUCAGUGAUCUGAUCACUUUGAGCAAAGAAAAAAGGUACAAAAUACCAAAACAAAAACCAGAAAAAGAAUACAGUAACAUGGAUUUGGCUUUAAAAAUCUGUUACUACAAAUCUAUUUUGGAGAGGUAUGAACAGUCCACUGUAGAUCGAAACCUCUGGAUGGUGAUCCAUGAGGGAAAGCCUCCACUCGGUAAACAAUACACUUCAGGUCAAGCACUUGAGAGAAAACCUUGGAACAAGGCAACAUUUUUAACAGGAGCCCAUCCCUUCUGGAGAAUGGGUUGAUGAGAUGUGGACCUUCAAAAACAGCAGCUUGGCCUUCCUGAAACCGAGGGAAAUGCUACAAGUGAUUUUGGUGUGUACAGGAGGUAAACAAGUACACUUAGUCCUAAGGUUUGAAGUCUAUGGAGUCCUUCCUUGGAAGGGUUCUAAAAGGUAAAGGAAAGAAAUGUUGCCUCUCCUUUCCCAAGGCCCUACACAACAUGAACCAUGAAACAAAUCAAUCUGUUGGCAGUAUGUGGACCAGCAGCUGGUGACCUCUUUUAUGCCAUUAAAGGAGGAGCUAGCCAUCACCUGGAAUAGAAGGUCUAGGUUCUAAACCUCUUCUUGGCUCUUCUCAGCGUUUCUAUGGCCCUUCUCACUCAACAGUUUAUGAAUAAGGCAUACUUGGUCAAAGUAACAGAUGUUGUGCUCCCGUGAGACAAAGGCAAAAGAGUUGGUGGUAUAUGCAAGAGUGAUUCUUUCUACUUUUUUUCCUUACACAAGAGGCUGAUAAAAUAAGGCAUCAUCACUGUUCAAGCUGGUUUCCUAGAAACUGUUCCUGCCUGUGGCACAUCUAUUGGUAGGGCUGGGGACGAAGAGAAACUUGACAGUGUUACUAACUCUUAGUAUACAAACAAGUCUGCAUGUUCGCUUUGGUCAAAGAAACGACCUGUGGCCAAAUUUUCUUUCCUGGACGGCUGUCAUACCCAUGUCAAUGAGCAGCUUACCCAAACCCAAUAUAAUAGGGCUGCUCUUUAUUGCCACUUCUGAAAUAUGCAAGGGGAUACACUUGAAAGAAAAAAAGAACAACAAAAAAAGAGUAAGCAGAGAACCUAAAAAAUCUGGGACACAAAGAGGGGCAUGAAAUUCUGACUCUUUCACACACACCUCCUCCUACCACUUUUCACCAUUUCUGGAGACUUCUUACAGAAAAUAUAACUUAGACCUAACAAAAAAACCUCUAGGUGGAAGUUUCUUCCUUUUUAUACUACUUCAUCUUUAUUACGAGGUUUUCUUCCUGGUAAUACACAUGCACUAAAGUCACAAUGAGAAACUAAAAUCACAACUUAGUUAUUCAUGUUAAAUACUCCCAGGUGUACAGAGCAACACUAGUUAAUGUAAAAAAAAAAAAAAAAAAGGUAACCAAAAACUGAUCAAUGCCACUCUGCCAUCAAGAGAAAUACAAUGUUUAAUUCUUUUGUUUCCUAAUUCUUCAAUUGGAAGGAGAGGUGAUCUUCCUAUGAAAACUGCAUCACAUGAUUAUCAAGCAGAAACCAAAACAACUACCCAAAAUGUAGCCUAACUAGUUUAUCUACUGUAUUGGGCUGACAGACACAGGUCUGGGGAUAAUAGUGUCCAGCACAGAUUUCUUAACGAUCACACUGAAAAGUUCCAUGAAAACGAGUUACAUCUGCUGAAAUGCCAUGCUAAGUAGUAUCAUUAUGAAGAAGGAGAUGGUUCAAACAAGCACUCAGAUAUUCAAGUGUGUUGGAAGGAAAGAAGGAAUGGUAUUUUUGACGAAGCAUCUGUUUGGUUUUCAACAGAGUCUUGACAUGAAAUAUUUACCUUAAGUAUGCUAGGAUUCUUCUCUCCCUAACAACUCAGCCCAAAAGUAGAAUUUCACGCUACCAUUCCAAAUCCUUCCCCAUAAAGGAUGGUAUUUUAGAGAUCCUUAAGAAUCCUCCUCCAGCUUAGACUUUAAUUUUGUAAUCUAAACUAUUUCCAAAUAUCUCAAAUAAUAGCUGGUAAAAUAGCAUCCCAAAUAGCAAGAGCAGCCAUUGUGAACAUGGUACAAAGUUUCUGACACCUUUGGGGCAAAAGCUGUGAAACAUGAAAGUAGAAAGAACCUUAACGUCCCAGUACACACCUUCCUAAAUCUUGCUCUGUGGUGAAUUAUCAAUCGUACUCUUGGGGAAGAUGAUCAAGGUUUAAGAGUGAAACACUCACCUGUCCUUGUAGUUUAUCACAGUAUCGAUGAUGGCGUUCAUCUGCUUCGUCAGUUUGGGGGGAUUUGGGGAUAGUUUCUCAGCUGGAGGGCGGCCUCUCCUCUUCUUGGCUUUUUCCACAUCUUCUUUUGCCGGAUCUUUAUCCACAUUUCUUCGUCUUUUUCGCUUCUUGAGCCGUACUUCCUCUUCCAUUUCUUCCAAAUUGCCGUCUUCAAUGGCCUGGUGUAGCAGGGAACGAAGGAAGAAAAUUCAAGACAAGAGAAUCACCAAGAAAAUUUUAAAAAGCCAACCUGAGUAGUAAGAAUAAAAUUAAACUAACAAAAAUCAAAUAAUAAAAAAAAAUAGAAGUUAACAGUAACCAGUCAAGUAAGAAGAAAGAGCAAAGACCGCCAUAUUGAAUCAAUGCAUCUUAAAACCAAGUCUAAUCCGUGAACAAAAUAUGUUGAAAGCCGGAAACACUAAUCGUGAGAAGAAAUGACGAGUACAAAAAGAGCUAUACAUUUAAGUGUCUGAAAGAUAACUGAAUCCAAAUGAAAUUUUAGCUCAAUGUAAGAAAAAGACCUUAAUUGUCUCAUUACUGUAAAGGGGGGGGGGGGGGGGGAGAACAGUAAAACAAAACAAAACAAGGGAUGGGUGAAGAAAAAAUCCCUCUAAGAAAACAUCCUUACAAUCAUAUAAGCUCUGACCCUUUUUUGAGGUUUUACAUCAAUUUACUCAUAAUUCACAACAUAAAUCAGAAUUCCAUCCAGAUUUUUGUUCUAACGUAGCAAUUAGUAAACAAGGAAACAGGAAGUACAAAGCCACAUUCCUUGGUAAACGCACUUAAAUCAUCUGAUAAAGAACACACACACUCACAAACAACAAACACUUUUUUCCAAUUACCUGCAAACGCUUGCUUUAAACCAGAGCCAGCAGCACUAAUGCAGAGAGAUAAUAAAAUAGCUAUAAAAACAACCAGGUAUAAAAGAAACCUGUUCGUAAAUGGCUAAAAGAUCCAUGUGACAGACCCAGAAGUUUAAACUUUUCUUCCCCCCACCCUGAUAAAUCUCAAAACUUAAGAAAAAUAAAAGAAAAACUGCAAUAAAAAAAUAGAUAAAAGAAAAUUUGACCAUGAAAAAGAAAAUUAAAAAAAAAAAACCUUUAAAUUACAUUUCAAGAUUGCUUUCUCACACAGAAUAACUGAUGUUGUUAUUUGUUCCUCCUGCCUCUCAAUAUUGCUUCCAGUAUGCAAAUGCUAAUCAAUCCUUUCUCGUAGCUGAAAGAGCCCUAAUCAUAAAGCAAUUACCUUCAUUUCUCCACAGCACCAAACAUGGCUAAUAUUUAUGAUCAUGUGAGUAUAACAAUCAAUAUAAAGAGUGAUUACAGCUCAGACAUAAUUUCUUUCACUUGUGUACAAUGCCUCCUGAAAAAGAAAGGUUUUAUGAAGAAAACCUGGUGCAGAACACAAAACAACCUGGCAUGUUAAAAAUGCUAGUGGGAUUAAAAGAAUGUUUUCUAUGCAUCCUCCAAUGUGCAAACCCAUAGAAGCAACAUGCACAGAGACAGAAUCCUAAGGGACAGUCUGAGGCUAGGCCUUAAUAAUCAAAAGACAAUUUCCAUCACGAUCCUACAGUGUUCAGAUAACCACUAUGAAGGAGGCGAGAUCUGAUGAGUUAUGAGGAAAAAAGAAAAAAGAAAAGGAAAAAAAAAAGCUCCACAUUAUUUCAUUAAUAUUCAUUUGCCUAAAAGCAGGACACCCACUAUACAGCUAAACACACUGCAGCUAAGCGAAGAUUAAGAAAAGGAAAUUGUCCCGCAAAUCUUGGAGACUGAACAUGCUAAUAAUAAAUACAGCAUGCAAGGCUGUCAACAGUUAAUGGUACUGCUCUCCUCAAGCACCCAGUUGCACACAGAAAUACGGAGAACACCGGCUUUUGAUGUGUUACACACCUACACAUGCCUGGGAUGUAGUUCUACUGAAUCUUCAAGACGGCAACGAAAAAGGAUAUUUACCUUACCACUAUCAGCAGGCCGGCUAUCGGAAAUCACAGUUAGUGGGGAUAAAAUUAACAAGCCAGCAAAGCAGCGAGCUGCUAGUCUCUUCAUCAGCUGAUCAGGAAAAAAAAGAGAGCUGGGGAAAGGCUAUGUUUUCAUAUACAAGUAAUUUUAUUUUACUGAAAAUUUAAUACUGAAAGGAUUGUGGAUACUCAAAUCUGCUGUUUCAUUCUACCUACUACAAGGCCCGAAGCCUUCCUCCUUCAGCCUGUUUUAAUAUUGACAACUACUUAUCAUAUUUUUCCCCCUUAUUAUUCCAGGCAGCAGAAUUAGAGAUUUUUAGCUCAGAUGGUUUCUGAUUCUUACUCUCAUUUUAACAAUUAAGCCAAUAAAAAAAAAACAAAUUAAUAUUCAAAUUUAUUUUAAAAAAUUAAAAACAAUUUAUGCUUUUUUUCUUUGGUAUUUUAAACCUCAUUUUAGUGCUUAAAAAAUAGACUGCAUGUUUUUGGAGCAAUCUAAGAGGAUUUUUUUUUAAUAAAAUAAUUUUUUUUCAUUAAAUACAUGUCAGUAAAAGCAAUGUGCAUGUUCUCAAUUUCAAACAUUUUAAUACAAUGUCAUUCUUUCUCCUUAAAGAAAAUCCCGAACAACUGUGACACUUCCCUUUCACUUUCCUGCUGUAAAAUUUUUCAUUGUUUUUCUUUUCAGUGGGAUACAUGAAGAGGGGGAAGUUGUGAAAAGGAUAGCUCUAAGCUCACCCCCCUCCCCUUAAUUUUGAAAAAAAACAAAACAAAAACGGAACAAAGCACAAGCUCGUGAUAUUUGGAUUUAUCAAUCUCUGAAUCUGGGAGUAGCUAAGAAGCGAAAACAAAUUGCAAAAAGAACUAGUGGAAACAAUGUUUAUGACAAUUGCUAAUACGUGCAGAUUCAUAUUAAAUUUAGGUUCUGGAAAUCACAAGGAAACACACAAAGUACUGACCAUUAUUCCCCUUAAAUUAAGGUUUUAUGCAGGAAUGCAGUCAGCUACAAAACAUCUUCCCUCCUCCCCAAAGACCCCAAACACAUCCAUAUGCAGUACUUUAUGUUCAGGGAUUUCUAAGGGUCUUUUUCUAAUGGAAAUCAAUUCACUAAAUAUUUCCCAGUGCUUUUCGCACUUAAAGAAGUAGAGUAAGCUUACUCCUGCAUGGAAGUAAAAAUUAUUCAUGGAAAUUUAAAACUGUUCUUUUAUUUAAAAAAUUAUUUAUUAAACUGGCUCAACUGACUCAACUCAGUGCUAGGUGGGGGGGGCCACCAAAAAAAAAAAAAAAAAAAAAACUUGCUACACAAUGCUAAAGUACUACCCCGAAAAGAAUGCCCUUCCAAACCUUUUACCAGCACAAUAAUGAAAUAAAUCACAGAAGCAAACCCCCAGUUUCCGACUGGUGACGUGUUGCGCAAGAGUGCGAGCCCUAAUUCAACAUACAGACGGCUCCCAUGCUGAACUGCCUCUAGAUUUAAUGAAGUGAAUAGGAAGGAAGUCGGGGGAAAAAAAGUGUACAAAUAAGAAAUUAACACUUUCCUUCCCUAUCCAAACGGUGAGAUACAACUACAGGGAAGUUUGGUGAGGCACUUCUUUCCUUAAAGGCACACGGCACCCAUUUGGCUCCGGAUGUCACUAAAAAAACCCUUCUGGUGAUAAAAAUCCCCAGCCAAGUUAAAAUAGUUAAGCAUAUUCCAGCCUGCGUUUUUCCUGAAUGAAGCUGGGAAUUACUCCUUCCUCCACUGGAUGGCAACCUUUUCUUCCCCCCCUUCUUUCGCUUUCUUUCUUUCGUUUCUUUCUUUCUUUCUUUCUUUUUUUUUUUUUUUUUUUUAAAGAAUACAUUUUCACAACACAGGAUGUACAAAAAUGAGAUCCAGCCUGGCUCCUUCUUCAAUUCGCUCCUAAGAAAGCAGCACCAGGUUCUGAUAACAAAACGCAGGAGCCGGCCGUGCAGGGAAAGCGGCUUUAGAGCAAACACUUUUGCAGCUUGCAAAAGCACAUGGCAGACCCGACCCGGGAAUCAGCCACACGUGGGUCUGGUCGUGCCCCUCUCUGUCAUCCUGACACACGCGGUGUCUUUUAGGGAAAGACGGACAGUGCAGGGAGUCGGUAUCAUCCUUGUUUUUAACCCUCGCUGUAACGGGGCGCUGGUGUACCUGACUUCACGGUACCACACGGCACAGCGGACUGGAUCCAUGGCUGUGAAUAGGAGAGGCUAAACCUCCCUCAAGCCCUGCUGAGACCCCCAGAUGCCAGUAAGACAUGCAGCGAUUCCCAACAUAACCAGACUACCAGCAGUAGCAGUGACAAAAAAGUGGAUUUUUAAAGAAACUUUAGGAUUUCAGGCACCUGGGUGGUGGCCACUGAAAUGGGCAGUGCUGGCUUUUAAGGUAAGUGACUGCAGCUGCUCUUUACCAAAUUCUCAGUACAGCGAGUUUCUCAGUUUCUUGUUCAACGACUUCAGAUUACUUUUGCAAAAAUGAACCAAGGUGUUCUCUUUCCCGCUAAUGGCAUCAGCAAGCUCCCUGAGGAAAUGUAGGGGAAGUAAGGGGGAAAGGUAAGCUUCCACAAUCCAGAUGAGGCAAAGCAAACCCUAUUUCAGGUAUAAGCAAUUUUGGGGUGGAAAGAGGGGGGAAAAAAGUAUAGGAAGUAUUAAAAUUAUUUAAGCCACAGGAUCAACUAAGCCUAUAGGGUACCUUUUGGGGAAUAUGAAGCCCCAGUACUCUGUUCAGAGCAUGACUUUUAGAUUUAGUAGAGGGUGACCCCAGAAACAUUCGGUCCUGUAGACCCUACCACAUUACCAACAUGAUGCACCAACACCUUUGUUCUCAGAAGCUAGGCAAGCACGAUGCUCCAGCUGAAUUUGUGAGCCAG